rnacentral:rRNA from 1 species
UGGGGAAUAUUGGACAAUGGGCGCAAGCCUGAUCCAGCCAUGCCGCGUGAGUGAUGAAGGCCCUAGGGUUGUAAAGCUCUUUCACCGGUGAAGAUAAUGACGGUAACCGGAGAAGAAGCCCCGGCUAACUUCGUGCCAGCAGCCGCGGUAAUACGAAGGGGGCUAGCGUUGUUCGGAUUUACUGGGCGUAAAGCGCACGUAGGCGGACUUUUAAGUCAGGGGUGAAAUCCCGGGGCUCAACCCCGGAACUGCCUUUGAUACUGGAAGUCUUGAGUAUGGUAGAGGUGAGUGGAAUUCCGAGUGUAGAGGUGAAAUUCGUAGAUAUUCGGAGGAACACCAGUGGCGAAGGCUGCUCACUGGACCAUUACUGACGCUGAGGUGCGAAAGCGUGGGGAGCAAACAGG